rnacentral:rRNA from 1 species
AAUGAACGUUGGCGGCGUGGAUUAGGCAUGCAAGUCGAGCGAGAACCCUCCUUCGGGAGGGGGACAGCGGCAAACGGGGUAGGAGGACGUCGGUGACGUACCCUCAGGACCGGGAUAGUCAAGGGAAACUUUGGGUAAUACCGGAUAACAUCUGCGGAUCAAAUGGUGUGAUUCCGCCUGGGGAGCGGCUGACGCGGUAUUAGCUAGUUGGUAGGGUAACGGCCUACCAAGGCGAAGAUGCCUGGGGGGUGUGAGAGCAUGGCCCCCACCACUGGGACUGAGAUACUGCCCAGACACCUACGGGUGGCUGCAGUCGAGAAUCUUCGGCAAUGGGCGCAAGCCUGACCGAGCGACGCCGCGUGCGGGAUGAAGGCCUUCGGGUUGUAAACCGCUGUCAGGGGGGAUGAAAUGCCUGGGAGCUAUCUCCCAGGCUUGACAGAGCCCCAGAGGAAGCACGGGCUAAGUUCGUGCCAGCAGCCGCCGUAAAAC